AGAGUUUGAUCCUGGCUCAGGACGAACGCUGGCGGCGUGCCUAACACAUGCAAGUCGAACGGAACUGUUUUGAAAGAUUUCUUCGGAAUGAAUUUGAUUUAGUUUAGUGGCGGACGGGUGAGUAACGCGUGAGUAACCUGCCUUCAAGAGGGGGAUAACAUUCUGAAAAGAAUGCUAAUACCGCAUGACAUAUCGGAACCACAUGGUUUUGAUAUCAAAGAUUUUAUCGCUUGAAGAUGGACUCGCGUCCGAUUAGUUAGUUGGUGAGGUAACGGCUCACCAAGACCGCGAUCGGUAGCCGGACUGAGAGGUUGAACGGCCACAUUGGGACUGAGACACGGCCCAGACUCCUACGGGAGGCAGCAGUGGGGGAUAUUGCGCAAUGGGGGCAACCCUGACGCAGCAACGCCGCGUGAAGGAUGAAGGUUUUCGGAUUGUAAACUUCUUUUAUUAAGGACGAAACUUGACGGUACUUAAUGAAUAAGCUCCGGCUAACUACGUGCCAGCAGCCGCGGUAAUACGUAGGGAGCAAGCGUUGUCCGGAUUUACUGGGUGUAAAGGGUGCGUAGGCGGCUUUGCAAGUCAGAUGUGAAAUCUAUGGGCUCAACCCAUAAACUGCAUUUGAAACUGUAGAGCUUGAGUGAAGUAGAGGCAGGCGGAAUUCCCCGUGUAGCGGUGAAAUGCGUAGAGAUGGGGAGGAACACCAGUGGCGAAGGCGGCCUGCUGGGCUUUAACUGACGCUGAGGCACGAAAGCGUGGGUAGCAAACAGGAUUAGAUACCCUGGUAGUCCACGCUGUAAACGAUGAUUACUAGGUGUGGGGGGUCUGACCCCUUCCGUGCCGGAGUUAACACAAUAAGUAAUCCACCUGGGGAGUACGGCCGCAAGGCUGAAACUCAAAGGAAUUGACGGGGGCCCGCACAAGCGGUGGAGUAUGUGGUUUAAUUCGAAGCAACGCGAAGAACCUUACCAGGCCUUGACAUCCCUUGCAGAGGUAUAGAGAUAUAUCCGAGGCUAUCAAGGAGACAGGUGGUGCAUGGUUGUCGUCAGCUCGUGUCGUGAGAUGUUGGGUUAAGU
rnacentral:rRNA from 1 species